UUUGUUUGCCCGGGAAAAGGGGCAGCGUUCGUGUCCAGGGCCCAGUGGCCUGGUGCGGUUGUCAGGGGUGAGAAAGCUGUCUCAGGAAUGCCCUGACUUAGAGAAUGCACCAUUCUCUAAGUCAGGGAAAAUUCAUUCCUUUCCCAAGGUUCGAAUGCUGUACCCCCUUUCACAUCCCACUCAUCUUAAACCCUUUGUAUCUUCCAUUAGUUACUGCUGUGAAAACUUUCCCUCUCCACGUAGCUGUGCACAAAAUCUUUACCUUCCCCAAAGACAGGGCACUCCCCCUGGUGUCCUUCUGCUGGUUGUUACCUGUCCCUGCUGUCCCUCCGACUCACCGUCUGUCCCUCAGCCUACCCUCCGUGUUUUCCUACCCCUUUUGGACCCUGCAAUGAAUCAGCUGAGAUGAUCCAGGACUCGAGCGGCCCUCCUUCUGUCUGGUGAAGAGAAACAUCUAGCCAGGGUCCAGCGGGUGAAAAUCCUGACCCCGGCAGAUAACACAGCCAAGCUCUUUGACUGCACAUCCCUGGAGCACCUGAAGACGUUCCGGACGGAGCGGCCAGUGAACUCUGCUGCCCUUUCCCCCAUUUUUGACCACGUGGUGCUGGGAGGAGGGCAGGAGGCCGUGGAUGUGACCACCAGCUCCACCAGGUGGCAAACUCGAGGCCAGGUUGGUCCUUUUCCCUCUGGCAGGGCU